ACGAACGCUGGCGGCGUGCUUAACACAUGCAAGUCGAACGGAAAGGCCCUGCUUUUGUGGGGUGCUCGAGUGGCGAACGGGUGAGUAACACGUGAGUAACCUGCCCUUGACUUUGGGAUAACUUCAGGAAACUGGGGCUAAUACCGGAUAGGAGCUCCUGCUGCAUGGUGGGGGUUGGAAAGUUUCGGCGGUUGGGGAUGGACUCGCGGCUUAUCAGCUUGUUGGUGGGGUAGUGGCUUACCAAGGCUUUGACGGGUAGCCGGCCUGAGAGGGUGACCGGCACAUUGGGAACUGGGAUAGGGCCAGGACCCUACGGGGAGGAAGCGGUGGGAAUUAUGCAACAAGGGGCGAAACCUGAUGCAGCAACGCCGCGUGCGGGAUGACGGCCUUCGGGUUGUAAACCGCUUUCGCCUGUGACGAAGCGUGAGUGACGGUAAUGGGUAAAGAAGCACCGGCUAACUACGUG
rnacentral:rRNA from 1 species